CCCUUAGAUGUUCUGGGCCGCACGCGCGCUACAAUGAUGAAUUCAACGAGUUUAUAACCUUGGUUGAAAAGCCUGGGUAAUCUUUUGAACUUUCGUCGUGAUGGGGCUAGACCCUUGCAAUUAUUGGUCUCCAACGAGGAAUUCCUAGUAAACGCAAGUCAUCAGCUCGCAUUGAUUACGUCCCUGCCCUUUGUACACACCGCCCGUCGCACCUACCGAUUGAAUGUUUCGGUGAAGAUUCCGGAUAGGACUUUUUUGAUUUAUUUCAAUUUUGUCUUAAAAGCUAUCUAAACCUCAACAUUUAGAGGAAGGUGAAGUCGUAACA
rnacentral:rRNA from 1 species